AUUGAACGCUGGCGGCAGGCCUAACACAUGCAAGUCGAGCGGAUGAAGGGAGCUUGCUCCUUGAUUCAGCGGCGGACGGGUGAGUAAUGCCUAGGAAUCUGCCUGGUAGUGGGGGAUAACGUCCGGAAACGGGCGCUAAUACCGCAUACGUCCUGAGGGAGAAAGUGGGGGAUCUUCGGACCUCACGCUAUCAGAUGAGCCUAGGUCGGAUUAGCUAGUUGGUGGGGUAAAGGCCUACCAAGGCGACGAUCCGUAACUGGUCUGAGAGGAUGAUCAGUCACACUGGAACUGAGACACGGUCCAGACUCCUACGGGAGGCAGCAGUGGGGAAUAUUGGGCAAUGGGCGAAAGCCUGAUGCAGCCAUGCCGCGUGUGUGAAGAAGGUCUUCGGAUUGUAAAGCACUUUAAGUUGGGAGGAAGGGCAGUAAGUUAAUACCUUGCUGUUUUGACGUUACCAACAGAAUAAGCACCGGCUAACUUCGUG
rnacentral:rRNA from 1 species